AGAGUUUGAUCCUGGCUCAGAAUCAACGCUGGCGGCGCGCCUAACACAUGCAAGUCGAACGAGAAAGCCGCAAGGUGAGUAAAGUGGCGUACGGGUGAGUAACACGUGGAUAAUCUGCCCUUUAGUGGGGAAUACCACUGGGAAACCGGCGACAAUACCGCAUAAGCUCGAGAGAGGAAAGCAGCAAUGCGCUGAAGGAGGAGUCCGCGGUCGAUUAGUUAGUUGGCGGGGUAAAGGCCCACCAAGACUGUGAUCGAUAGCCGGCCUGAGAGGGCACACGGCCACACUGGCACUGAAACACGGGCCAGACUCCUACGGGAGGCAGCAGUGGGGAAUCUUGCACAAUGGGGGAAACCCUGAUGCAGCGACGCCGCGUGAGCGAUGAAGCCCCUCGGGGUGUAAAGCUCUUUCGGCAGGGAAGAUUAUGACGGUACCUGCAAAAGCAGCUGCGGCUAACUACGUGCCAGCAGCCGCGGUAAUACGUAGGCAGCAAGCGUUGUUCGGAGUUACUGGGCGUAAAGGGUGCGUAGGCGGCUUUUUAAGUUUGGUGUGAAAUCUCCCGGCUCAACUGGGAGGGUGCGCCGAAUACUGAGAGGCUAGAGUGUGGGAGAGGAAAGUGGAAUUCCUGGUGUAGCGGUGAAAUGCGUAGAUAUCAGGAGGAACACCGGUGGUGUAAACGGCUUUCUGGACCAUAACUGACGCUGAGGCACGAAAGCGUGGGUAGCAAACAGGAUUAGAUACCCUAGUAGUCC
rnacentral:rRNA from 1 species